GAGCAGGAGCAGGAAGCUGGAAAACGAGGAUUAGGAGCUACGCCGAACAGGGCCUAAGAGUCAGUCAUUGCGGUAUCCCGUAAAACUCUGAAGUAAACACCUUUGAAAAGACCGUUUAUAAAAAAAACCACACCAACUCAGCAAAUAGAGUCAGUCAGUAGACACAUACGUCUCCAUCUCUCAAAUGCAAAAAAGAAAAAAAGAAGAAGAAGAAGAUCGAUACCUUUUCCCGUCCACGCGAGCGACCGCCGCCGCCGGCCCCGCGCGCCGCCUAACCGUCGAGCACAGCCGCGCGUCGUAGAGCAGCCGCCGAGGCCGUCCGUCCCUGUCUCUCCACUCCUCGCCGCAGGAGGCGCUCGUCCCUGUCUCGCCACUCGUCGCCGCAGCCGGGCUUGCCGUGGCCACCACAGCCCACAGUACACCUCGUCGUCGAGCCGCGCGCGCUGGUGGAAGGCGCACGGUCACGUAUCUCAUGGAUCGACGGAUCUCGUUUCUCCACCGUCCUCCAGCCAUCCGCGACGAGCUUCACCAGUCACCAUUCAGAGAAUCGAUUGCUCACGACGUGUUUGUGAAAUUGCCUAGCAGACCAAAAGGGCAAUCGGCGUUGAGAUCGAUGUUGCGCAUGCGCACACCAAUCACUAAAGCUUGAUAUCGAUCAGGUCGUUAAUUAACCGUCUAAAGCUAAAGCCUGCCAUCUAGGAAGAAAAUAGAAGCGGCAUUGGGAGGAGGGGUCACGGGAGUCCAGAGUCCAGGCUCCAGAGUCCAGAGUCAGCCCCUGGAGUGUCCAGAGUCCAGGCUCGCUUGGAGAAGCGACACUCAAAAAGAAGAUGCGAAAUAGAUUCGGGGUGGCGACGACAGAGCUGACAAACAGGGUCACAGGGCCACCCCCUGAAAAGUUGUACUUCUAAGUUGAUAUGAAGUUGAUACCCUUGUAAAAUUGUGUUGAUACAUAAAUGUGCUAUUUCGGUAGAUAUUGACCCGGUAAAAGAAGCCCAUUCCCUCCGUAACCGAGCUAUCUAAUAUAUAUAUUGUUGCAAGCUUUCCAGCCGGAACAAUUGACCCAUCCAUCUACUUGUAGAGUGUCAACUCAGCUGUGAGUUUAUUUUCUUCCCUAGUACCCACAAACAUAUACACGGGACAAUACCUCUUCUAGAAGAUACGAACAUACAGUUAUGCAGGGACGAGACUUGAAUCCAAAACCUUAGCUAGGUUUCCUGGCAUGUGAGUUAACAUAGAAGAACAAACGAUUUAACUAAACAAAUUCCAGUUCCACGACCGCGUUGAGAUACCUCUUUUUCCCGCAUACAUACACACCAAACACGCGCUGCUUUGCUGAGCUAGCUUUUGAAAAGCUUAAUUUGUUUCGAUGGAGUCUACUCUGUGCCAGUUGUUUAAUUAGUAUUCCUCCGAUACAUAACGAGUGUCUAAUAACUUUGUACUAGAUCUCAGACACUUACUAUGGAUUGGAGGAGUACGUUUCAACGUUUGUUCUGUAUACUUUCUUUUUUGCGCUGGAUUUGUUCUGUAUACUCUUUCGACAACAGAGAACUAGAUAGAGUAAGCAUGUAUCUACGGAUGUCUCUUUUUGGUUGUUCCAAAUAUUUGACUAUCUUGAGUUGAUGCAUUGUGUCACCAACGCUUUAGUUUAGUUUAGGACGACGAUCGAGUUUUGUUUACAUUGUCGAUCGUUAAAACGUUGAUAAAACCAGGCUAGCUAGCUAGUAGUCAUGAUUCCUUAGCUAGCUCCAGCUAAUUUACUUGUGUCCACACUCCACAGUCCACACGCAAUAUUCUCACGAAACGUACUUACGCGCAGCUAGAUUUGGGUCGGCCCUUCGUGGAUCUCGUGCCUGCCGGAAAGUUAGUACUCCGUACUCGGUUUUUCUACAUAAGUCAUAUAAAAAUCAGCAAUUUUCACUGAUGGGCCUGCAUGCUUAACAUAUGGUAGAAUCUAGAGUCAGUCCCCCACUAUUCACGUCAUUUAUAAUCGACGAUAAUAAAACACAUACUAGAUUUACAAUAAGUGAUUUGUUAGCAUUAAAAAUAUUGAUAUCAAAUUAUAAAUAUGUUGACUCUUGCCGACUCUUAGGGCAUUCGCAAAUGCGGACGAUUUGGUGUGUUGGAAUGAAAAAGGAUAGGCUACGGCUCAGUUGACUGAGAAAACUGUUUCUCAGUCGACGAGUCGUCUUCUCGAUCGAUCGAUCCAUCCAUCCAUCCUCUCGAUCUCUUGAUCGAUCCAUCUAUCCUCCCGAUCCCAUAGUCGUCCAGAUGGUCCAUGGGCUUCUUUCUGCAUGGGCUGGCCUAUUUGUAGCUAGUAUUUGGAUUUUGAUCCCAUAUAAAAGACAAAAAAUCUGUAUUUAUACCUAUCUAAAAAGUACGGACCGUUCCCUUCACCACGCGUUUUCGUCGUCUGCCAAACCUUCCCCUCCCCCACCCGUGCCCCUUCGUUCUAAUUGUACAUUGCGUCUCUUUUUCUCGUUCCCCACCGUACGAUUCUUUGUCGCUGUACCGAGCCCAUCCCCUCCAUCUCUCCCGGUGCUCCCGCUCCUCCCCGCCGCCCCCGAUCUGGAUGGCGCCCGGGGCUCUUCCCUACCGCCGUCCUCCCCGAGAUGGCCCCCCCCCCUCCUCACCGUGAUCUCUCUCUCCGAUCCGCUCAUGCUGCUGCAUAGUGGAUAGAAGGCGCCUCUAAAAACAAAAUCAUCCUCUGAAAAACUGAUCUAGGUCUUGCUCUCCGACGAGUGCCUAGGCGGGAGGUCCUAUACUUCCACUCCGAUGACUAGGUGCGCAGGAGUUCUUCUAUUUCCUCUGCAACAAUGUGAGCCGCCGUCGUUGCAAACCAUUAAUUCGUCUCAGGGCCACUGCCAUAUCUCCAUCAUCAAGCUUUCUGAUGAGAGAGAUAGAGAUGGCGAAGCCUCGCUGGACCUCGCCAUGGUCCACCAAUUGACCCCCGUCGUCCUUCCCGCUCUAGCACUGCACGCGCAGCCAGGGGGAUUUAGGGGAUGCUAAUCAGAUGUGUUUCAGAGCCUUGGAUUUUUGGAUACGAGGAAUUGAUUCGAUUUGGACAUAGACAGGAGGAGAGAGAUGGAUGUGGCCAUGAACCAGCUUUUUGUGCAUCGCAGAUGUUAACGACUAACGAGUGUUAUGAGUAGACGGGUUUCAGCUUGCAAGAAUCCAAAUGCGACUGGGUCUCCAUGUGAGGAUCAUUGAGUGAUUUCGCCACCUCCUAUAGAUGCACGCUCAAGCUGACGAUGAGUUUAGCAAAUUUUGUUUUUUUCUUGUUUCUCGUGUUCGUGUAUGACUUCCUUUCCCUUGCAUUGAUUUCUCGGAGAUUACUCGUCGGCCUCCAUGGGCCACGGUGGUCGACGGGAAGGCUCGUGACAUCACAACGAAUAUCCAAGCAAAACUAAGUACUAAGCGGAGGUUUUUCCUUCUAAUGGACCAUCUACUCCAACUACUGAGUAAGUGUCAGUAUCGUGGUCACCGUGCUCGAAUCCAUGGGCGAAAAAAAAAACACAGGCGUGUGGGCAUGUUGCAGUGGACGUUGAUUGAAUCUUCUGUCAAGAAUUGUCGAAAAUACGUGCGGAGUGCGGCGGCCCGUAGCAACGCACUGACAUUUCGGCUAGUCUGUCUAAAAAAUAUGGACCGUUUGCUGACCUUCCUUCGCUCACCUCGCCCGAUCCCUCGCCGGACGCCCCAGCAGGCCCAGGCCGAACUCAUCCACCCACACCGAGCAGGCCGAACUCGUACACAUACGAACGAGAUCGAUACGUACUCACCCACCCAACCCGCUGCAACCCAUCAGCCUCCUCGCACCUGUGCGGCUGCGCCUCCACCGGGUCUCCUAGGGCUUGCGCUGCCGCCGAACCUCGCUCGCCUGCGCCAACUCAGACCUAGAUAGGAACGCGUCUCCGGAGCCCUCGUGCGCGCUCCGCCUUGCCUCUCUCGCUCCAGCGCGUAGACGCGAGCCCCGCCUUGCUGUUUCGGCGAACGGUCGCGACCCUCGGGGCCCCUUCGCUGGCAGGGACGACUCCGGGACGACGAAGACCUACUGUUACCCGGCGUGUUCAAGGUGAAGGGCACUGGCCCUGGCGUGUUCAAGGCGAAGUGCACUGCCGUCUCUCUCCUGCCGCGCCGCCUCCUAUCCCCCUCCGCCCGCUGUGCUUCUCCUCUACCCCUCCUCCGCUCCCAGGGCGCCGCCGAGGUGGUGAUGUAUGAUCCCCGCGAGGAGCUCGUGCUCGUGCUCGCCAUGGACUUCGAUGGCAGAGCCACCCGCAUCAUCGGCCCCCUCCACGGCGCCAAGUACGGCAAGUACCACACCGAUUUCAUCCCCUACGUCAGCUCACACACGGAGAUCUACAGGAAGAAUUCGGAAAAGCACUCAGCUUCAGCUGGAUUGAAUCUUCGCAUGAUUAAGCUUUGUUUUGAUGAUCGUUUGAUCUUAUGAUCAGUGGUAUCUCUUCUUUCUCUUUUCUUCUCCUUCUCCCUGUUGUAAUCUCCUACUGACUCCCCCUGUACAUUCAGACAACGUCUGAAAAUAAAACCAUGUGCAAGAAAGUAGACCGGUGGGCACACAGUUUAGAGACAAAGUUUAGAGACAAAGAUAUAUUAUGAAGAUAAACUACACAAGUUUUUCAAUUUGCUUAAUAUUCUCUUGUUGAUGGAAAAUUAAGGAGGCUGCAAUGUGGACAUGUCGUGUAGAUCUCUCUCAAAUGUGUGGCAAGCAGACGCAUCACCUGGUGUUGAAGCGGUAUGUUUGAGAUCCAUUUGCACGGAGAUCCUGAAAUAUUUCUUCUUAUUUCCUUUGUUUUUGUCAUCUAUUUCAAUUGCGGAACAAUUUAGGGUUUUCAAUCUUUGUUGUUCCAUGGCAUCGCAAUCAGUGAAAAGAAGUAGAAUUCUUUUUUAUCGGAAGGAUUGUGAUGAUUAGCAAACAACGGUUUUCUUUUUUAAAUUCAAUAGAUUUUUUUUCAAAUUUGUAUCACUCGGAUCCAAGUCCGAGUUGAUAGGCGUCAUUGAAGAGCAUAUAUAUUAUCUAAACUGAGUCCCCAUAGCUUCUCUUUUAUCCUUAUAACUAGAAGCACCAUAUAUAGUGUUUUGCAUAUUAUUUAUGUGGCAUGGUACUCACAUGGAUGCUCCUUGUGGUCUUAUCUUCAAUGUUGUUCUCUAUGCCAAGGGAAGGGGGAAAAGGAACUCCUAAAAUAGCAUCUCAAUGAAGAGACUGAUCAGUUCAUCGCUUGGUACAGAAGUAUAUGAACAAAAACUUACAAUAUGAUAUGCUAAUUCCCAUUCUUGUUUGCUUCGGGAGACUAAGGAGCGAAUGUUUGUUCAUUAA